UCGGGUAUGGUGUAAUGGCUAACAUUGCCGCCUCUCAUUGUCUUUGCAAGAAGUGACCGCGGCAGCUCGGGGUUCAAUUCCCCGUACACAAA
rfam:Termitomyces sp. J132 unplaced genomic scaffold scaffold256, whole genome shotgun sequence.